AGAGUUUGAUCCUGGCUCAGGAUGAACGCUGGCGGCGUGCCUAACCCAUGUAAGUCGAGCGAUCUGUUAGCAAUAGCAGAGAGCGGCGGAAGGGUGAGUAACACGUAGGAGACCUACCUCAUCGCAGGGAACAACAGUCCGAAAGGAUUGCUAAUACCCAAAAGACCCGCGGAUUCGAUGCCGUGGGGAGAGUGCGCAAGCGCGUGAUGAGAGGGUCCUGCGGCCCAUCAGCUAGUUGGUAGGGUAGUGGCCUACCAAGGCAACGACGGGUAGGGGGUCUGAGAGGACGAUCCCCCACACUGGAACUGAAACACGGUCCAGACGCCUACGGGUGGCAGCAGGGAGGAAUAUUGGGCAAUGGGCGAAAGCCUGACCCAGCAACGCCGCGUGAAGGACGAAGGCCUUCGGGUCGUAAACUUCUUUUGAGGGAGACGAGAAAGGACGGUAUCCUCGAAUAAGCCACGGCUAACUACGUGCCAGCAGCCGCGGUAAAACGUAGGUGGCGAGCGUUAUCCGGAUUCAUUGGGCGUAAAGAGCUUGUAGGCGGUCGCGUAAGUUGGACGUGAAAACUCCGGGCUUAACUUGGAGAGGCCGUUCAAUACUGCGGGACUGGAGGAUGUCAGAGGGGAGUGGAAUUCCUGGUGUAGCAGUGAAAUGCGUAGAUAUCAGGAGGAACACCCGUGGCGAAGGCGGCUCCCUGGGACAUCCCUGACGCUGAGAAGCGAAAGCUAGGGGAGCAAACGGGAUUAGAAACCCCGGUAGUCCUAGCCGUAAACGAUGGGUGCUGGGUGUGCGCGGAUCUAACCCCGCGCGUGCCGAAGCUAACGCGUUAAGCACCCCGCCUGGGAACUACGAGCGCAAGCUUAAAACUCAAAGGAAUUGACGGGGACCCGCACAAGCAGCGGAGCGUGUGGUUUAAUUCGAUUCUACACGAAGAACCUCACCCAGGUUUGACAUGCAAGUGGUAGUGAAGCGAAAGCGGAACGACCCGCAAGGGAGCUUGCACAGGUGUUGCAUGGCUGUCGUCAGCUCGUGUCGUGAGAUGUUGGUUUAAGUACCCUAACGAGCGCAACCCUCGUUGCCAGUUACAAGUGUCUGGCGAGACUGCCGGCCGCAAGCCGGAGGAAGGCGGGGAUGACGUCAAGUCAGCAUGGCCUUUAUAUCUGGGGCUACACACACGCUACAAUGGGUCGCUACAAUGGGUCGC
rnacentral:rRNA from 1 species